rnacentral:tRNA from 1 species
GCCCCGUUAGCUNAGUCGGCAGAGCAGCUGACUCUUAAUCAGCGGGUCGUAGGUUCGAGCCCUACACGGGGCA